ACGGAAGGCAGCAGUGGGGGAUAUUGCACAAUGGGGGAAACCCUGAUGCAGCGACGCCGCGUGAGUGAUGAAGUAUUUCGGUAUGUAAAGCUCUAUCAGCAGGGAAGAUAAUGACGGUACCUGACUAAGAAGCACCGGCUAAAUACGUGCCAGCAGCCGCGGUAAUACGUAUGGUGCAAGCGUUAUCCGGAUUUACUGGGUGUAAAGGGAGCGUAGACGGCAAGGCAAGCCAGAUGUGAAAGGCUGGGGCUCAACCCCGGGACUGCAUUUGGAACUGUCUAGCUAGAGUAUCGGAGAGGUAAGUGGAAUUCCUAGUGUAGCGGUGAAAUGCGUAGAUAUUAGGAGGAACACCAGUGGCGAAGGCGGCUUGCUGGACUGUUACUGACACUGAGGCACGAAAGCGUGGGGAGCAAACAGGAUUAGAUACCCUGGUA
rnacentral:rRNA from 1 species